GGGCAUGGUUGCAGAAUCACCGCACUCCUGUAAUAUACCUUAGCAAGCCGAAGGGGAAAGAGGGAGCAGAGGCGGGAGGUGGAGGCGAUGACAUGAAGGGAGGUGAUUGGUCGUUGUAGCAGGAGGUGGUGCAGCAGUUCAUUUCCGUAAAAGUGUGUGUGCAGGGUGUAGCGUGGUGGUGGUGGUGACGACGUUGACGGGGUUGAAGGCGAUCGAGCCUUAUGAUGAUGGUGGUGGUGGUGAUGAUGGUGAUAGUGAUUCUCCAGCAGAUUGUUCCGUUGUUGUGACAGCGUCCUACCCCAUCUACCCCUUCUGCUGCCAAGAAGAGGAAGGUGCUGAUCCUAGCACAGAAGAUGGAGGUGAUUGAGAGUUUCGAAGGAGGCAUGGGGUGGACUGAAGCUGCCAAGAAGUUUGGGCUGCAUGAGGCGUCUGUCCGCACGAUUUACAAGGCGUGGGACAAAAUCAGGCAAAGUGUGCAAUAAGUUCAAGAGGGGUGCUGAGGAGCUUCUUUUGCCUUACAAGGAGACCUUACGCCAUAUGGAAGCAUCUGCCAGUCAGAGGCCCAUUACUUCAUAUUUCAAGCCCUCUCCAACCAGCAAAUAAACUAAAGGUACUAGUACUAUCAUUAAAUAAAAUGUGUGAUUGGUACUUCAUUUAUUGUUUUUUUUCAGCCUUUUCGGUAAAAAAAAUUUUUGUGGGAGGAUCUGGGAACGUAACCCCCAUUUUCCCAUAAGGCCUAUUAUUCGCCGAACACGAAUCUCGCCGUACACGACGAGCUCAAGAACAUAACUAUCGUGU